rnacentral:rRNA from 1 species
AUUGAACGCUGGCGGCAGGCCUAACCCAUGCAAGUAGAACGAGUGGCGUACUGUUGAGUAAUGUCUUGGCAACUGCCUAAUGGAGGGGAAUAACUACUGGAAACGGUAGCUAAUACCGCCUACCAUAUGCUUUUCCCAGAUGGGAUUAGCUAGUGGGUGGGGUAAAGGCUCACGUAGGCGACGAUCCCUAGCUGGUCUAAGAGGAUGAGCAGACACACUGGAACUGAGACACGGGCCAUACUCCCACGGGAGGCAGCAGUGGGGAAAAUUGCACAACGGGCGCAAGCCUGAUGCAGCCAUUCCGCGUGGAUGAAGAAGGCCUUCGGGUUGUAAAGUACUUUCAGCGGGGAGGCGUUAACCGCAGAAGAAGCACCGGCUAACUCCGUGCCAGCAGCCGCGGUAAUUC